UGGGUCACUGGUGCCCAUAUCCAGCUGUCACAGUGCGAGGGCCGGGGUACACCCUGGACAGGUCGCAAGUCCCAUCACCGGCCCAGAUAUGGCCGUCCAUGCUGCACCAGAGACAUAAAGGAUGUCAUCAUUAAAGGAACGAAAGGUUUCAAAGCAUCAAUGAUCUACGGAGUCAUCAGGAAGUGGAAAAACAACAGCUGAAAACUGGAUGUUCCUACAAAACUGACAAAAAGACCGGACAAGAAACGGGUCCAGGAGGCUACGAAGAGGCAACAACUGAAGAAGUUCUGGUUCUAACAACAAUCUGCUGAGUUCACAAAUGUCUGAGCUGUGGAGCUGAGAAGACGUUAAGAAAAAAAACAUCCAGGGCAGAAAAUAGACCAAGUCUCCCAAAAGACUGUGGGAAACUGAGUUCUGGUCUGACCAACACCAUGUUGAAGUGUCUGGUAAAAAGUUUGGUUUGGUGCAGGACCAAGAUCAUCUGAAAUGAUCUUUGCUGGACUUUUUAUGUYGUGGUUGUACAGUUUUAGUGGGUUUUGCAUAAAUUGUGUUGAAUCCCAGGAAUGAUCUGAAGUGAUUUUUUUAAAUUUAGUUUAUUUUAUUUCCAUCUGAGAGAUUUUGGGAUUGAUUUAACUGCAAAAAUCACAGCUUUACAUCUUCUACCUUCACAUUCCUGAGUGUGAAACCUUUCGUGGAGAUCCUCACCUCAGCAGGGACACUGUGAGGACGUUUCCCAUAAGUACCCUCUAUUAUUCCUGAUCGUUAUCUGCAGCGUGUGUGUGUGAGGGUGGGUGAGGGGGUCUCCGGAGUCCAGCUGGAGCCCAGUACAGUUCAGGAAUUUGGAGAGUUCUUUAGAUAUUUUCUAAGUCUUUGCCCACAUGUGCAGGACAGAGGGAGUCGGCUGCUAUUUCCCCACGACCCCGACGACACCCCCUGGCCCUGACCUCUGACCCCACCCAUCCAAACUGGAGAAAAGAAACAUYUGAAGACGAGCUGGUUCAGAAAACAGGGCCAACAUUCAAACACAGUCUGGCAAGUUUUCAUUUAGGACAAAAUGUUUUUUUUUUUACCUGCUCUCAGCUUUCACACAUACCAGAGAUCUGUAUCUGUUACAACGUGCAUGACAUCAGUUUUUACUAUCGAUCUUUAUCUUCAUGUUCUGUCACUUCCUCAGUAAACUGCCGCACCUCCAA